AUAGGGUGAAGAGCGUACAUUUCUUUCUCAUGUUCUUGCAUUUUUUGCUGCAAGUGAUGGUAUUGUGAAUGAGAACCUAGUUCAGAGGUUCAGCCAGGAAGUAAAUGCUGUUGAAGCAAAAUGUUUUUAUGGAUUUCAAAUAGCAAUGGAGAAUAUUCAUUCUGAAAUGUACAGUUUGUUAAUUGACACCUACAUAAAAGACCCUGCAGAGAAAAAACGACUUUUUAAUGGUAUCGAAACAAUACCAUACGUGAAGAAGAAGGCAGAUUGGGCAUUAGAUUGGAUAUAUUCUGAAGAUGCUAGUUUUGGUGAGCGAUUAGUAGCAUUUGCUGCUAUUGAAGGCAUUUUCUUCUCUGGAUCUUUUGCUGCAGUAUUUUGGUUUAAGAAAAGAGGUUUAUUACCAGGUCUUACCUACUCGAAUGAACUAAUAAGUCGAGAUGAAGGGCUCCAUUGUGACUUUGCCUGUGCAUUGUUUCACCACCUAAAGCACAAACCUAGCCAGAGUAAAAUCAGAGAGAUUAUAUGCUCAGCUGUAGCUAUUGAAGUGGAGUUUUUAGUUUAUGCUGUACCUGUGAAGCUGAUUGGGAUGAACACUGCCCUCAUGCAGGCUUACAUUCAGUUUGUUGCCGACCGACUUCUAUUAGAAUUCCAAUGUGAAAAGGUUUACAAGUCUGAAAAUCCCUUUGAUUUUAUGGAAAACAUCUCCUUGCAGGGCAAAGCAAACUUCUUUGAGAAGCGUGUAGCAGAAUACCGCAAAGCAAAUAUUAUGGUCCCAGAACUAGCACGACAUCAGUUUACCUUGGAUGCAGAUUUCUAAUAAUUACAUUAUUAUCAUUCCAUUUAGUAGUUAACAUUAAUUUUCUUUAUUUAUAUUUUUUACCCUGACCUUAAUCUUCCAAUGCCUUGAAAUUGGAAUGUAAUAUUUAUUACUGUUGACAAAAAGUCCAAUAUACACGGUAUAAUAAUAAUAAUAAAUAUAAUUUACAUGGUAUACAAUUUGCUGUACUCGACUAGUUUUUUAUCCUCAUGAUACUGGUUUAUCCUCAUGAUAC